rnacentral:rRNA from 1 species
AUGCGCGCAAAAAAUGUGGCAAAUGAUGAUUACAUAUAUGAGUCACAAGAAUAUGAAACCCAAUAUGAUGAUGACAAUCUUGAUGUGGAUGAUGAGGGCUUCUUCAAUGUCAAGGGAAGAAGUGGCAAUUAUACCACCGCGGAGGAUGUGUUGAUAUGCACCGCUUGGAAGAAAAUUUCUCAAGAUGCAAGCGUUGGAAGCGACCAAACGGCGAGCACCUAUUGGAAACGCAUCAAGGAGUACUUCGAUGAGCGCAACACAGGUGGUAUCUUCCAUUCGAGCGACUAUCUACGCCAAUGUUGGUCCACCAUCAACGCCGAAUGCUCAAAGUGGGCCGGUUGCUUGUCAAAUGUUGCUCGCAUGAACCCAAGUGGUUGCGGUGAUAGUGAUUUGGUAAAUAUUUCCUCUUCGUUCGUGCUUUGUGAAAUAUUUCCUCUUUGUUCACUAUAUUGA